rnacentral:misc_RNA from 1 species
UGGGAAUCUUCCCUGAUUUUUUAUGGCGGACUCAAACUGCUCCACAAGGCAUUGUCGGCAAAAAUGAUGUCCACAGGCUUCAAGCUCAAACCUAUCGUCUUCAAUGUCACAUAAGCAAAUUGGACAAGCAUCUGUGUCGUCUGGCCUCUCGGCUGAACCACCACUCAUCUUUGCAAACUCAAAAAUGAUAGUUUCAACUUCCUGCUUCAAAUCCCUACUACCCUGGACAUAUAAAAUAUG